AGAUUGAACGCUGGCGGCAUGCCUUACACAUGCAAGUCGAACGGCAGCACGGGAGCAAUCCUGGUGGCGAGUGGCGAACGGGUGAGUAAUACAUCGGAACGUGCCUAGUAGUGGGGGAUAGCCCGGCGAAAGCCGGAUUAAUACCGCAUACGACCUACGGGUGAAAGCGGGGGAUCGCAAGACCUCGCGCUAUUGGAGCGGCUGAUGUCAGAUUAGGUAGUUGGUAGGGUAAAAGCCUACCAAGCCGACGAUCUGUAGCUGGUCUGAGAGGACGACCAGCCACACUGGGACUGAGACACGGCCCAGACUCCUACGGGAGCAGCAGUGGGAAUUUGGACAAUGGG
rnacentral:rRNA from 1 species